AGUAAAUUGGUCAGUAUGCCAGGUUGCCAACUUGGCGACCCGGGUUCGAUCCCCGG
rnacentral:tRNA from 1 species